rnacentral:rRNA from 1 species
AACGAACGCUGGCGGCGUGCCUAACACAUGCAAGUCGAGCGCGAAUGGGAGCAAUCCCUAGUAGAGCGGCGCACGGGUGCGUAACACGUGGGUAAUCUACCCUGGAGUCCGGGACAACCUGCCGAAAGGCUGGCUAAUACCGGAUGAGACCACGGGGUCCUUGGACCUUGUGAGAAAAGGUGGCCUCUGCAUGCAAGCUAUCACUUCAGGAUGAGCCCGCGGCCCAUCAGCUAGUUGGCGGGGUAAUGGCCCACCAAGGCAACGACGGGUAGCUGGUCUGAGAGGACGAUCAGCCACACUGGAACUGAGACACGGUCCAGACUCCUACGGGAGGCAGCAGUGGGGAAUUUUGCACAAUGGGCGAAAGCCUGAUGCAGCAACGCCGCGUGUGUGAUGAAGGUUUUCGGAUUGUAAAGCACUUUCGACCGGGAAGAAACCCCAACUGACCUAAUACGUCAUGGCUUGACGGUAUCGGGAGAAGAAGCACCGGCUAA